AUUGAACGCUGGCGGCAUGCCUUACACAUGCAAGUCGAACGGCAGCACGGGAGCAAUCCUGGUGGCGAGUGGCGAACGGGUGAGUAAUAUAUCGGAACGUGCCCAGUCGUGGGGAUAACGUAGCGAAGUUACGCUAAUACCGCAUACGAUCUAAGGAUGAAAGCGGGGGAUCGCAAGACCUCGCGCGAUUGGAGCGGCCGAUAUCAGAUUAGGUAGUUGGUGAGGUAAAGGCUCACCAAGCCAACGAUCUGUAGCUGGUCUGAGAGGACGACCAGCCACACUGGAACUGAGACACGGUCCAGACUCCUACGGAGGCAGCAGUGGGAAUUUUGGACAAU
rnacentral:rRNA from 1 species